rnacentral:rRNA from 1 species
UCAGGACGAACGCUGGCGGCGUGCCUAAUACAUGCAAGUCGAGCGGACCGACGGGAGCUUGCUCCCUUAGGUCAGCGGCGGACGGGUGAGUAACACGUGGGUAACCUGCCUGUAAGACUGGGAUAACUCCGGGAAACCGGGGCUAAUACCGGAUGCUUGAUUGAACCGCAUGGUUCAAUCAUAAAAGGUGGCUUUUAGCUACCACUUACAGAUGGACCCGCGGCGCAUUAGCUAGUUGGUGAGGUAACGGCUCACCAAGGCGACGAUGCGUAGCCGACCUGAGAGGGUGAUCGGCCACACUGGGACUGAGACACGGCCCAGACUCCUACGGGAGGCAGCAGUAGGGAAUCUUCCGCNAUGGACGAAAGUCUGACGGAGCAACGCCGCGUGAGUGAUGAAGGUUUUCG